rnacentral:rRNA from 1 species
CCUACGGGCGGCCGCAGUGAGGAAUAUUGGUCAAUGGGCGCGAGCCUGAACCAGCCAAGUAGCGUGAAGGAUGACUGCCCUACGGGUUGUAAACUUCUUUUAUGAAGGAAUAAAGUGAGGCACGGGUGCCUUUUUGUAUGUACGUUAUGAGUAAGGAUCGGCUAACUCCGUGCCAGCAGCCGCGGUAAUACGGAGGAUCCGAUCGUUAUCCGGAUUUAUUGGGGUUAAAGGGAACGUAGAUGGGUUGUUCUGUCAGUUGUGAAAGUUUGCGGCUCAACCGUACAAUUGCAAUUGAUACUGGCAGUCUUGAGUACAGUUGAGGUAGGCGGCAUUCGUGGUGUAGCGG